UGACUUAAGCAUAUCAAUAAGCGGAGGAAAAGAAACUAACAAGGAUUCCCCUAGUAACUGCGAGUGAAGAGGGAAGAGCUCAAAUUUAAAAUCUGGCGGGCUCUGUCCGUCCGAGUUGUAAUCUGGAGAAGCGUUUUCCGCGUCGGACCGUGCAUAAGUCUCCUGGAACGGAGCGUCAUAGAGGGUGAGAAUCCCGUCCAUGGCACGGACCGCCGAUGCUUUGUGAUACGUUUUCAAAGAGUCGAGUUGUUUGGGAAUGCAGCUCAAAAUGGGUGGUAAAUUCCAUCUAAAGCUAAAUAUUGGCGAGAGACCGAUAGCGAACAAGUACCGUGAGGGAAAGAUGAAAAGCACUUUGGAAAGAGAGUUAAACAGUACGUGAAAUUGUUGAAAGGGAAACGCUUGAAGUCAGUCGCGUCCGACGGAACUCAGCCUUGCUUCGGCCUGGUGUACUUUCUGUCGGACGGGUCAACAUCAGUUUUGACCGGUGGAGAAAGGUAGGGGGAAUGUAGCGCUGUUUCGGCGGCGUGUUAUAGCCCCUUGCUGUAUGCAUCGGUUGGGACUGAGGACCGCAGCACGCCUUUUUGGCCGAGGGUUCGCCCUACGUACCGUGCUUAGGAUGUUGGCAUAAUGGCUUUAAGCGACCCGUCUUGAAACACGGACCAAGGAGUCCAACAUGCUUGCGAGUGUUCGGGUGGAAAACCCUUGCGCGUAAUGAAAGUAACAGUUGGGAACCUCCGCAAGGGGGUGCACCGACGCCCGGCCCUGAAGUUUUCUGACGGUGCUGCGGUAGAGCAAGUAUGCUGGGACCCGAAAGAUGGGUGAACUAUGCCUGAAUAGGGCGAAGCCAGAGGAAACUCUGGUGGAGGCUCGUAGCGAUUCUGACGUGCAAAUCGAUCGUCAAAUUUGGGUAUAGGGGCGAAAGACUAAUCGAACCAUCUAGUAGCUGGUUGCUGCCGAAGUUCCCCUCAGGAUAA
rnacentral:rRNA from 1 species